rnacentral:tmRNA from 1 species
GGGGGCGACCUGGCUUCGACGUGGGUUGCGAAACCUUGAGUGCAUGCCGAGAUGCAGAAUCUCGUAAAUCAGCUGCAAAACUUUAGUUGCCAACAACGACAACUACGCACUCGCUGCUUAA